ACGACUGCACUCCAGCCUGGGCAACAAAGUAAGAGUCUGUCUCCAAAAAAAAAUACUUUUGUAUUAAAGAGAUGGCAUUACAAUUUUACAGUUAAAGAAUUUUUUGCUGUGCUUAAACAUCUUCUUGGCCUGGAUUUUGCUGCCAAGCCUUAUAGUCUUUGUAGUCUGUAUAUACAGAGUAAUUAUUUAAACAGGGGCCCCAUAUAUGUGACACACUUCUACAAUGACUCUAAUAUAUUUUUGAUUAUGUCAGUUUUAAUUUGUUUAGCUAUUCUUUUCAGAAAAUGGCAGUAUAUGCCUGUUGAUGAUGUUACUGUAUUUCAGAGGUACUACAUAUCUUUAAAGAUGGUAGUUUUGGUCUAGCAAAUCUAUGUCCUUUCAAAAAGCAAUAAAUGUGAAUCUCUGAUGUGUAACAACUUUGUGAUAAUAAUAAAGAAAGUUUACUCUGUAUGAAAUAGCAUUGUAUCUUAAUGUUCUCUAGAGACAAUCUUUAAGGUUUUACUACUGUUGACCAAUAAUUACUUACAGUUCAGCUGUGAGAGCUCACAAAAAAUGACUUUAUUACAUGGCCAGUUUCUAUUUCUGUUAAUUAACAUUGUUUUAAUUCUAGAGAUAUUUUCAAUUUUCAUCUUCUACCAAGAACUUAAUGCAUUAAUGAUAAACUUAAGCAGUUUAGGAUCAUUCAUUUAUUGGAGCAUACAGUCUGGGGCCGGAUGGAAAGAGAGCUCCAUGAAUGUAUGAAUGCAGUGCACUCUUACCAGAGUCCAGCAAUAGUGAUAUAUACGAGAAGGAUGGUAAAGGUGAUUAAUUUUAAGUGGGAGAGGAUAGUAGGGUGAGAGGAUGCAUAUUAGAGGAAUGGCUUUAUCAUGGAAGAAUUCUACUAAUACUUCAAAGACACAUGGGACUUUUCCAGGCAGACAUGGUCAGGGAAGAGUUUUCUAGGGGUAAGAAGUGGUCAUGGAGGCAUAAAAGUAUGAUAUAGUCAAUAAAUAAAAGGAGUUCAGUACUACUGGAUGAUAUAAAAGGAAGAGUAGUGACAGAUAAAGAUCAAGAAAUAGGUCAAAACCAGAUAAUGUAGUCAAGCAGAAAGAAAAUCAGCAUAAAUAUGGUUUUCUAAUGCUAUUGAUGAUUUUAUGGCAGCCAGUGUCUAAGGUAACAAUUCCUUCUGCUUUUGUGUGUUUUUUACUUUUUCACUAGUGGAACAGUUACAGUUUGAAUUUCUUUUCAUUUUCUAGCAAAGCCUUUCCAAAAUGUUUAUUGAUCAUUAUUUUCAUAAAGUCUUUAUGAUAAUUAGUUAAGCAAUAAUUGCCAGUCUAAUAGCACUAAUAGCCAGUGUUACUUAAUGAGACUAAAAAGGUCUCUAAAUAUUUGGUAAUAUUUAUACAUAUGUAUCAUUUUUUAAAGUGCAACUGAGAUUUUCAUAUUUCUUAUGAUAGACUCAUGAUAGACUUCAUUCUUGCACAACAAUCCUUUAAACUUUACCUAUGAGGUACUUUUAUACAGUUAUUGUCUUUACACAUUAUUACAGCUUUACAUGUUAUUGAUGAAUAAAAGACUUUUGUCCUAGUCUUAUAAUACAUUGGCUUCAUGGCAACAACAACAACAACAAAAAUACCAAAAGAAAGCAUUACCACCAUCUUCUCUGUUUUGUCAAAUUUAGAUGCCAGUCUGGACAGGUGGGUCAUAUCACAGUGCUGGAGAAGAACUAGAACUCAUCAGGGCAUGGACAAACUGCAGUAUUCCCUAAAAACAACCAAACUUGAAGUUUGCUUCUAUCUUUAUCAACUCCUCACCUAUGCUGGAAUAGGGAUUUUUUUUUUUUUCUGUAUUAAAACCCUGUGAUGUUGCAGUUAGUAAUGAUUGUGCACUGCUCUACUCACAUUAUUGUUCACCACACCUAUUACAUAAUGUACUAGUUUUAUUGUAGUCUUUGUUUAAAUAUGAAAACAACUGUAGAUUCAGAUGCUGUUUGGGGAUUUCAAAGAGCAAAGAAAAAAAGGAUAUAAAGCUGAAAUUGGUCUUUAAACAUGUUUGACAUAGGAAUUGAAGUGCUUUUCAUUCAUUUUUUUCAUAGACUAAACAUAGGCCUUUUGAUAUUAAAUUUUUAAUAACUAUAAUGAAAUUAAAAUUAAACUAUGGGUCACAAAUCUAUCCAUUUUCUUCUAACUGCUGUUUCUCUCAAACACUAGAAUACUGCCUAUUUAAAUCUUAACUUUUGCUUGCCAAACCACUGUUACCGUCCAUCUGUUCAUGCCAAUUGUAAAGAAGGUUCAGUUUUUAGUGAAGCUUUGCAUUUCACAUAAGGUAUGUGAAGUGAAAUUUCACAAGGGACAUGAUGGAUCCUGAUUCUUAGUGAUAAACCUUUGGGGCCAUCAGGGUUGGCAUAUGGUCCACUAUGAUAUGAAGGCUUGGGUUCCCUGGCUUCACUUCUUUGGCGUGAAGCUGAUAAAACCUGGCUCUUGAGUAUUAUUUCACUGGACACCAAUCAUGGGCAGCAGGAACUGCCCAUUUAACUCUCUGUGGGAAGGAAGCCCAGAGAGCAUUCACAAUGGUACCAUUGUCGAGUUGCAAACUGCUCUGAACAGCUUGACAGCACUAGGGAGGAGGGGAAGGGGUUGCUUUACUAAUUGCUGUUCAGAAGAGAAGCAGCAAAAAUAGCUGUUGCAGAACUGAUGUUUCUACAUUUACUUACUCUCUUGAUAAGAAUGUUGACUUUUAUUUAGCACAUAGCUGCUAUCAAAAAAAAAAGCAAAUGAAUAUAUUUAAGCAGCCACCUGUAGUAAUUCCUUGUUAACAUGCCAUUAUCUAUUUUUAGCCCAUCAUAUUAUUGCAGAGCAAAAGUCAAUUUUGUCUUAAUGAUUUUUUUAUUAGAUGAAAAUAAGGAAUUUUUUAUUUUCAUAAGAAUUUAACUGAGGUGAAGUGGAUAAAAUUAUCACAAUUCAUAUGUCAGAUAAGGUUAUAAAUUUGGUUUAAUUUACACUUUGCUUUUUAGGAUUCCCGAAUGCCAUCUGAAUACAUAUAAACGAUAUUAGUAUAGAAAUGCAAACUAACUUUCUACAUAGCACAAGUGCUAAAAUAAUCCACUAAAGAUAAACUAGUCAGCACAUCUUAAGGUUAAAUGCCAGAUUUAUUAUUUGAGUAGCUCAUAACUAUUUCAGUCAUGUAUGAUUAUCUCACUCAUUGAAUUCCCUCUGGUUGGAUUUUUUUUUUAAUGUGAGGGUUGUUUCCUUUUUUAUGAAAUAUUGUAUGCCCUGAUAUUUAUAUAAACACUCCUCUUGACCUGUUUUCUUCUAGUCAGCUUUGUCAGCCAGCAGUUGGGUAGUUCUGUUGCAAAAAAACAAUGAUCUACAACCUGAAAAAAAAAUUAGUGCUUAUUUUCGGACUCCAGGGAUUCUGACCCCAUAGAUUAUUCUUUUUUUCUUUCGGCUGAAAUGAAAUUGACUAAAUUAUAUUGCAGUAACAAUGAUUUAUGUAGCAUCUUCUUAAAUAGGAUAAGGAAGAGAUAUUUUAAGAAAACUUUUAAAACAGUAAAGUUUUGUAACAGGAUGCUCUUGCUAGAUUUGGGGAAGUUCAAGUGCAUGUUUUGUAAAAUUAGAAAAUCUGUAAAAUUUACUAGUAUUUCAUAUCUUGUGUUCUCUUAAGUAAUUUUAGUAAAUGGGCACACCAGUGCAGUAUUUCAAAAACAGUAAUUCAUUGAAUGCCCAUUCUUCCUUUUACUGCAGAAUAGAUUAUAUUUAAGUCAAGAUUAAUGGAUAGAUUUUGAUGUUAAAGUCCAGUGUCUAAGCCUGUCAUUCCCUGGGGGCAUAUAGUGCAUUAGUUUAAGCCAAUGUACUGCUUAUCAUAGAUUCUAUGACACUGUCUUAAAUGACAGUUCACUGUACUUUGUUUCUACUUACUAUAAUAAUGAAAUCACUUUUUUUGUAUUCCCAAUAAUUAUAGCACUUAAACAAAAAUCUUAAUUAAAUUAGUGCACAUUUAGGUAGAGAUAACACUUAAGUAAUUGUACACUGUAAAAUUUCACUUAUUUGGUUUUUGUUUUGUUUGGUUUUUUUUUGUUUUUUUGUUUGUUUGUUUUUUUCCUUUUUGCAGUCUUCUGACAGGGUCCAAGUUUAGUAUUUUGCUCAAAUACUUUUGUUUCUUCAACUUUAAUGUACUAAAAAUUAUGUUCUCAAAAAGAACAACACACAAGAUUGUUUCUAGUAUCCUCCCAAUGUUUUUUUAAACUCUUAAGCUAAUACUAGUGAUUUUCAAGCAGUUCUCUGUUGACUUUGAAAGUCUCAUUAUUACUAAAUUAAUGAUAAUGUUUUCAAGUAGAUCUUUCCAAGAAUGAGAGUACAUUAUAAUUUCACUAAAUUUGAAAUCCAGAUAACCUAGUGUUUCUGUUUUGCUUCAUAAAACUUUCAUGAAAGUAGAAUGUGUGUAUAUAUAUAUAUAUAUAUAUAUAUACACACACACACACACACACACACAUACAGAUAUUGGAUAAUCAUAUUAGUGCUUUUUGAAACCCACCAAUGAUUAUUGGAUUAUUAAAUCAGGAAGGAUUUUCAGAGCCUUUAGGUAAGUUUAAAUUUUUAAGCCUAUUUAUUUAAGGUUAAUCUUUUUAAAUGUAUUUACACAAACUUUGGUGGAAUUGGGCUUAUCAACUUUUUACUUAAUGUUUUCAUUUAGUAAUUGACUGAUUUAUGAGCAAUUAUAUGUGUUCCAAAUUUUAUUCAACUCCAGCUUUCAAUUUCUGUAUCCUCACACUGCCUUAGCACCUGUUAUGGAUUUUGAGUCAUCUGGCAGCCCAUGGGACUUAGAUAAAGAAGUACCAGGUGUCCUGCCUGUCUCCUAAUUGAGACGCAGUGAAAACAAUAUAGACUUGGCAAUAUGGUUAAAAGGAUGGAUUAAAGCCCAGCUUUGUCUGCUCUGACAAAUCACAGCUUUUCCUUCAUGGUGUAGAUAGUAUCAACCACUGAAGAAUUUCAUGAAUAUAAGGCAUCAUAAAAAUAGACAAUAAUUUGUCAUAACCUGUUGCAGACUUUCAGAAGAAUUUUUAUUAACAUAGUGUAAAUAAGCAAUAUUAAUAACGAGAUUCAUGCUAUUUGUUUAGGGAAAUUUUAUUUUUUACUGCAUAUAAACUAGACUGCAUGUUUCUGGAAGAAGUUAGUUACAGUGGGAAAGAUGGAAUAUCCUUCCCUCUGCCAGAUCCUAAUUUAUCAGAUCUUGCUUUAUAAGAGAGGGCCAGCAAAAUCAAAGGGCACAGUAGAACAAAAAUUUUUCUCACAAGGAAGAUUCAAACUCUAAAUCCAGUCCUAGGAAAGUUUCAACUACAUUUGCCCCAAAAAGGUUUGCCUUUAUGGAACCACAUUGGGAUUAGAGGAAAGGGGCGUCAGUGUGACAGACACCUCCUAAUCUACUAUCAAACCAACUUUAUUCACUCCUUCUAGAAGUUGUAAGCAAGUCAUUGAAUACUACUGUGCCCUGUGUUGGGUGCUGAAGACGUAAAGAUAAGAAGACAUGUUCUCUGUCCCCAUGGCAAUAGUCUCAUCACUAGUCUGUAAACCACAAAAUGGACAAUUAAAAUUUCAAUAACGUAAGUAGAAUGCCUGGAUUACUAGUCUCUAAAGUGAAGUAGUAGCAUUUAAGGACCACCAAAUCUGCCCCCAAGAAUCAGGGACAAAACUGUUUCUUAAGAAAGUGUACUUAGUGGAAGAACAAGCCUAAGGAAAGAGGCUCUCUAAAGGGGGCCUGGGAGGUGGGUGAUUUGCAGCAAUCUUCAAGAUGUGUGAUAUGGAAACUUACUAUAGCCAGUUGCAGGCUACCAGCCUUACAAACUUUAUAAGUAUUGAAUAAUUGACUCUGAUCUGCUCAACUUAAGUAGUACUUAGAUUUCAGCUACUUAAGUUACAUCUCAAUUACUACUUAAGUUGUACUCUCAAAAAAAAUUUUUUUAAAUCAGUAGGCAACAUUUCUAAGUAAUUAUUGGAAUGCUUCCUCCUCCUAUGAUUACUAUUCUUGGAAUCUUCUCUAGAGAAAGGAGAUAAAAUUCCUAAGUGCUAAAACUGCAAAGAAGCUAUAGAAAUGUAUGAGUGUAGGGAAGUGCUUACUAAAUUAAGAAUUUCAGAAUGGGCCUUAAAUCCCUGAGACUAGGCCAUUGAGCACAGAUAUAAACACUUUAUACUUGCCUUUAUUUUAAAAGGAGUCAAUUUUUUUUCUUGUUAAGGAAAAACAACAUGAAACCUGAACUUAGGAGGAAAAUAAGCAAUCAUGCAAAUCUUUGAUAUCUGCUUACAAGUUGUAAUUUUUAUAAUUUCUUUUUGUGAAAAUUAUACUUUGUAUUCUUGUGUGUAACGUGUAUACACAUAUAUACACACACACAUUUCCAUUUCUUUCAGACUAGUCACAAAUUACAUUUGAACUAAAUGUUUCUACAACCUACUGGUUGUCCCGUGGAAUUACAAAACUGAAAGCUUCCCCUUUUCUAACAGUACAAACAGUUCAGAAUUACCAGAUUAAUAAAAUUAUUGUGGAGAAUGAAAAGCAUUGCUUCUUUAAAACCAGGUCUACUUUUAUAUAUUCUUCUAUGUGUUAAUAAAGUUGAUAGUACAUAAUGUUCUGCAGUAUCUUUUCUCUUUUUCCCCAUGAGAAAUCAGUUUCUUUGCAUCAUAAUAAGUCAAAACCCUCUGUACAUGUAACAAGAAAUAUUAGUGGUAUUAUCUUUUUUUAUUAGUGGUAUUAUCAAAGAGUUCUUGCACAUGAAUACAGGUAUAUUUCUUAAACUGACAUCAAAAAUUGUCCUCCUAGAGGCAGCACCUGCUAUAUACAAAUAUAUGAGCCAAAGGCCAAAAUAAACUUUUCAAGACAGAUGUAGGGACACUUUUGAUUUACCCUGUAUUUGUAACCUUUAUCUUCAGCACCCUAUGAAGUGAGUAGGUGAUGGUAUCCCCAUUUAACAUACAGAUGUAUCCCCAUUUAACAUACAGAUAAAUUAUGGCACAGAAAAUUUAUGCUUAUCUUUCCUGGCUCAGUCUGAAAUUGAACCCAUUUUCUUAAUAGCUGGUCUUGAAGUUUAAAAUCAAGAGUAGUAACUUAAAAUAUGUAAUGAUGUUAACUUAAUGAAGUACAGAUUAGAUUUAAACUGUUCUUUAUGCUAUAGAUGUUUUGUUCCCUUGUUUUUAGAAUAAUAAUAUUCCUACCCCCCCCACCCCCCUCCCGUCCCCCUUUUCCUUUUUUAAAAAGGGGGAGGGGGGUUUGGGGAUAAUUAUAUUGCUGUGAUUGCAUCACCUGUGUGUUUUUUUUUUUUUUUUGAUUGGCUAGUUCUGUAUUAAAGAUUCCUACUAGUUAAAAGUCUCCCUCAUCCAACAGUUUUUAUUAGAUAAUUUUGCCUUGAGUUGUUUUACAACCUAAAUCUGCUUACCUCAACUUAGAUUUGUAUUUUAAAUUUUUGUUCUGAAUUUUUUUAUUAGUUUACCUUCACCUUUUUUAUCGUCCUUCCUAUUUCAGUUUUUUAAUUCCAAUGCCAAUGGCAACAUGCGCUCACCAUAUAAAACUAUAGCUUGAGUUGUCCUCUUGUUGCCAGCUGUGGAGUUUGUGUGCCACUCAACGUAUAUGUACUAAUAACUCUUCCCUAGAGAGAUGUCUUUUAUGGAAUAAGUGUCUAAGCUUUUAUAAGGAGAUACGGGAAUUAACUGCUUUGGAUGAUUACAAUUGCAGAUUCUAAAGCACUGUAUGGAACUUUAAUCAUCUCAAUCACAAAAAGCACCUCGUUGUGGACUCAAGGCUAUGGUUUAAGUGCUUAGAGUUUAUUAUAUUUCCUUCAUACAUGUUUUCUGAAGU